UUUACUCAAAUUUGUGUGGAGUUGGAACUUCUGCCUACGUUUGACGCUAGGGGCGUUGUUCCACUUGCAUACAAAUUUUAGUUA
rfam:Bombyx mori DNA, contig: Bm_scaf19_contig13620, strain: p50T/Dazao, build 2, whole genome shotgun sequence.